UGAAAGAAAGGUGUGAAGGAAGAGGCUCCCACUACUGGCCCCGAAUCUCUCAUAUCCCCAAAAUCAAAAUAGACUUGAGGUUCCUCUAACCAUGACAUUGUAAAGCACAUAAAUCAAGCAUUUUGCAAAGAAAGUCUCAACCUUGAAUGAGAGACUUUGGCAGUGUAAGUUUCAGGAACAUGGUGUAAAGCUCGGGCAAAGUGUCAAUGACAUAAGUGAUUUGUUCAUGAUAGCACGUCGGAUUCAUUAUUCAAAGAUGCUUUUGAAGUUGAUUUUCACAGCAUGUGCGGUUCAACUGAAAAAGUUAUAGAAAGAAGAAAAUCUAUCAAGGUUUCUUCAAAUCAACAAAACAGAUCCAAGAUACAUCAUAAUUGCUGGAAAGGGCACUACGUCUACUUCGUUAACUUGGUUCACUUACAUGCUUCAAACAUCCUGAGAUUCAAGAUAAGGUUGCAACAGAAAUCAAAGAAACAACAAAAAUGAGAAACAAUGCUACAAAUGUUGUAGAAUUUGCAAACGGUAUGAGUGAAGAAAGCCUAGAAAUGAUGCAAAAUCUUCAUGCAGAUUUCAAUGGAACUAUCAAGACUAUCAUGCAGUUCCAGUGGUAUGCUAUCUCAGACAUUUAGCAAUUUCUAAUACUUUGACUUACAGGAGAGUCAGAGGUUCACAUCGUACAGGUUAGGCCGACCCAAAGCUCUUUUUGUCUAAAAAUUAUAAAUUGAUUAUUUUUAAUAAUUAGGGUCUCAACAAAAGAAGUAAUAUUUCAAUGAUAGUCUAAUAUUUUUUAUUAAAAUAAUU